AAGUCGUAACAAGGUUUCCGUAGGUGAACCUGCGGAAGGAUCAUUACCGAGUGGCGCGAAAUUCCUGUCGUGAGACGGGGAAGCUACCCGACCUUUUGUCAUUUUGUCAAGUCUGGCUGGCGGGAUUGCAUUCGUGAGAAAGCGAAUGUGGAUUUCGGCAGACGGACCAAAACUUCGGCGGAAGAGGUAGGCGUGGACCUGCCCGCCGCCGGCCGUAUAAGACAAUACACAUUCUUGAGAGCAAACUGAAGUCUAAGACGAUCCUUGAAAAAGGAAUACCAAAAAAAGCAAAACUUUCAACAACGGAUCUCUUGGCUCUG
rnacentral:misc_RNA from 1 species